GCGCCCAUAGCUCAGCUGGAUAGAGUACCUGGCUACGAACCAGGCGGUCGGAGGUUCGACUCCUUCUGGGCGCGCCA
rnacentral:tRNA from 9 species